GAGAUCGGGCUCGAGGGACGUGCCAGCAUCCUAUGAAAAUAGGUCCUGUAUUAAAGCACCCGCUAUGCGAUAAUACAGGUGUGCGGGGGAAUUUUACAGAGGUAAACCCCGCUGAAGAUAAAUAUUUAGUGGCCAGCAGCCGCGGUAAUUCCAGCUCCAAUAGCGUAUAUUAAAGUUGUUGCAGUUAAAAAGCUCGUAGUUGAACCUUGGGCCUGGCUGGCCGGUCCGCCUCACCGCGUGCACUGGUUCGGCCGGGCCUUUCCCUCUGGGGAUCCCCAUGCCCUUCACUGGGUGUGGUGGGGAACCAGGACUUUUACUGUGAAAAAAUUAGAGUGUUCAAAGCAGGCCUAUGCUCGAAUACAUUAGCAUGGAAUAAUAGAAUAGGACGUGCGGUUCUAUUUUGUUGGUUUCUAGGACCGCCGUAAUGAUUAAUAGGGACAGUCGGGGGCAUCAGUAUUCAAUUGUCAGAGGUGAAAUUCUUGGAUUUAUUGAAGACUAACUACUGCGAAAGCAUUUGCCAAGGAUGUUUUCAUUAAUCAGGAACGAAAGUUAGGGGAUCGAAGACGAUCAGAUACCGUCGUAGUCUUAACCAUAAACUAUGCCGACUAGGGAUCGGACGAUGUUAUUUUUUGACUCGUUC
rnacentral:rRNA from 1 species